CUUGCUUCUGCUGACGACCGGCGCACGGGUGCGUAACGCGUAUACAAUUUGCCUUGUACUGGAGGAUAGCCCGGAGAAAUCCGGAUUAAUACUCCAUAACAUCAUGAAUUCGCAUGUUUUUAUGAUUAAAGCUUCGGCGGUACAAGAUGAGUAUGCGUCCUAUUAGCUAGAUGGUGAGGUAACGGCUCACCAUGGCAACGAUAGGUAGGGGGCCUGAGAGGGUUGUCCCCCACACUGGUACUGAGACACGGACCAGACUCCUACGGGAGGCAGCAGUGAGGAAUAUUGGUCAAUGGAGGAAACUCUGAACCAGCCAUGCCGCGUGAAGGAAGAAUGUCCUACGGAUUGUAAACUUCUUUUAUUUGGGAAGAAACUUCUCUACGUGUAGAGAACUGACGGUACCAAACGAAUAAGGACCGGCUAACUCCGUGCCAGCAGCCGCGGUAAUACGGAGGGUCCAAGCGUUAUCCGGAAUCAUUGGGUUUAAAGGGUUCGCAGGCGGUUCAUUAAGUCAGUGGUGAAAUCCUACAGCUCAACUGUAGAACUGCCAUUGAUACUGAUGAACUUGAAUAUAGUUGAAGUAGGCGGAAUGUGUAGUGUAGCGGUGAAAUGCUUAGAUAUUACACAGAACACCGAUAGCGAAGGCAGCUUACUAAACUAUUAUUGACGCUCAUGAACGAGAGCGUGGGGAGCGAACAGGAUUAGAUACCCUGGUAGUCCACGCCGUAAACUAUGACUACUCGAUAUUGGCGAUACACUGUCAGUGUCUAAGCGAAAGUGAUAAGUAAUCCACCUGGGGAGUACGUUGGCAACAAUGAAACUCAAAGGAAUUGACGGGGGCCCGCACAAGCGGUGGAGCAUG
rnacentral:rRNA from 1 species